UCCGGUUGAUCCCACCGGAGGCCACUGCUAUCAGAGUUAGAUUAAGCCAUGUUAGUUGAGAGGGUUUAGACCCUCAGCGUAAGACUCAGUAACACGCUGUCAAUCUGCCCUAAGGUGGGAGAUAACCUCGGGAAACUGAGGAUAAUAUCCCAUAGGUCUAGGAUACUGGAAUGUGCCUAGGCUCAAAGCCCCGGCGCCUUAGGAUGAGACCGCGACCUAUCAGGCUGUUGGUGGGGUAACGGCCCACCAAACCCGCGACAGGUAUGGGUUUUGAGAGAAAUCGCCCAGAGUUGGGGACUGAGACAAGGCCCCAGGCCCUACGGGGCGCAUCAGGCGCGAAAACUUCGCAAUGCAAGCAAUUGUGACGAGGUAACUCUGAGUGCACACCCUUAGGGUGUGCUUUUCUAAAGCCCAAAAAGCUUUAGGAAUAAGGGCUGGGCAAGAUCGGUGCCAGCAGCCGCGGUAAUCCCGGCGGCCCAAGUGGUGGCCAUUAUUACUGGGCUUGAAGCGUCCGUAGCUGGAUUAGUCCGUCUCUGGUUAAAUCCCAAGGCUCAACUUUGGGACUGCUGGAGAUACCACUAGUCUAGGGACCGGGAGAGGGUAGAGGUAUUCCACGGGUAGGAGUAAAAUCCGUUAAUCCGUGGAGGACCACCAGUAGCGAAGGCGUCUACCUGGAACGGGUCCGACAGUGAGGGACGAAAGCCAGGGGAGCAAAGCGGAUUAGAUACCCGUGUAGUCCUGGCCGUAAACGAUGCGAACUAGGUGCAGCAUGCCCCUCGAGGAGCAUGCGGUGCCGAAGGGAAACCGAUAAGUUCGCCGCCUGGGGAGUACGGUCGCAAGACUGAAACUUAAAGGAAUUGGCGGGGGGGCACCACAAGGGGUGAAGCGUGCGGUUUAAUUGGAUUCAACACCCGAAAUCUCACCAGAGUCGACGGCAGUAUGAUGCUCAGUCCAAAGGGCUUAGCAGACAAGCCGAGAGGAGUUGCAUGGCCACCGCCAGCUCGUGUCGUGAGAUGUCCUGUUAAGUCAGGCAACGAGCGAGACCGACACCUUCAGUUGCUAGCUUUCUCUCCGGAGGAAGUGCACUCUGAAGGGACCGCCCGCGCUAAGCGGGAGGAAGGAGUCGGCGACGGUAGGUAGGAUGACCCGAAUGCUCUGGGCUACACGCGUGCUGCAAUGGUUGGGACAAUGAGACGCAACUCCGAAAGGAGAAGCAAAUCCCCUAAACCCAACCUCAGUUCGGAUUGAGGGUUGUAACUCACCCUCAUGAAGCUGGAAUCCCCAGUAAUCGGAAUUCACUAAAUUCCGGUGAAAACGUCCCCGCUCCUUGCACACACCGCCUGUCAAGUCAUCCGAGUGAGCUUUUGGCGAGGCUUUCUCUAUCUCAGAUUUAUCUGGUGUAGGGGGAGACGAACCAGAGGUUC
rnacentral:rRNA from 1 species